rnacentral:tRNA from 1 species
GCGCCUGUAGCUCAAUCGGAUAGAGCGGAUGGCUUCGGACCAUCAGGUUGGGGGUUCGAUUCCCUCCAGGCGCG